CGUUAUUUUACUUACUCCGUGAAUCGGAG
rnacentral:snRNA from 1 species